GAGUUUGAUCCUGGCUCAGGACGAACGCUGGCGGCGCGCCUAACACAUGCAAGUCGAACGAGCCGAGGGGAGCUUGCUCCCCAGAGCUAGUGGCGGACGGGUGAGUAACACGUGAGCAACCUGCCUUUCAGAGGGGGAUAACGUUUGGAAACGAACGCUAAUACCGCAUAACAUACCGGGACCGCAUGAUUCUGGUAUCAAAGGAGCAAUCCGCUGAAAGAUGGGCUCGCGUCCGAUUAGCUAGUUGGCGGGGUAACGGCCCACCAAGGCGACGAUCGGUAGCCGGACUGAGAGGUUGAUCGGCCACAUUGGGACUGAGACACGGCCCAGACUCCUACGGGAGGCAGCAGUGGGGGAUAUUGCACAAUGGAGGAAACUCUGAUGCAGCGACGCCGCGUGAGGGAAGACGGUCUUCGGAUUGUAAACCUCUGUCUUUGGGGACGAUAAUGACGGUACCCAAGGAGGAAGCUCCGGCUAACUACGUGCCAGCAGCCGCGGUAAUACGUAGGGAGCGAGCGUUGUCCGGAUUACUGGGUGUAAAGGGAGCGUAGGCGGGGUCUCAAGUCGAAUGUUAAAUCUACCGGCUCAACUGGUAGCUGCGUUCGAAACUGGGGCUCUUGAGUGAAGUAGAGGCAGGCGGAAUUCCUAGUGUAGCGGUGAAAUGCGUAGAUAUUAGGAGGAACACCAGUGGCGAAGGCGGCCUGCUGGGCUUUUACUGACGCUGAGGCUCGAAAGCGUGGGGAGCAAACAGGAUUAGAUACCCUGGUAGUCCACGCCGUAAACGAUGAUUACUAGGUGUGGGGGGACUGACCCCUUCCGUGCCGGAGUUAACACAAUAAGUAAUCCACCUGGGGAGUACGACCGCAAGGUUGAAACUCAAAGGAAUUGACGGGGGCCCGCACAAGCAGUGGAUUAUGUGGUUUAAUUCGAAGCAACGCGAAGAACCUUACCAGGUCUUGACAUCGAGUGACGGCUCUAGAGAUAGAGCUUUCCUUCGGGACACAAAGACAGGUGGUGCAUGGUUGUCGUCAGCUCGUGUCGUGAGAUGUUGGGUUAAGUCCCGCAACGAGCGCAACCCUUAUUAUUAGUUGCUACAUUCAGUUGAGCACUCUAAUGAGACUGCCGUUGACAAAACGGAGGAAGGUGGGGAUGACGUCAAAUCAUCAUGCCCCUUAUGACCUGGGCUACACACGUAAUACAAUGGCGAUCAACAGAGGGAAGCAAGACCGCGAGGUGGAGCAAACCCCUAAAAGUCGUCUCAGUUCGGAUUGCAGGCUGCAACUCGCCUGCAUGAAGUCGGAAUUGCUAGUAAUCGCGGAUCAGCAUGCCGCGGUGAAUACGUUCCCGGGCCUUGUACACACCGCCCGUCACACUAUGGGAGUCGGUAACACCCGAAGUCAGUAGCCUAACCGCAAGGAGGGCGCUGCCGAAGGUGGGAUUGAUGACUGGGGUGAAGUCGUAACAAGGUAGCCGAAGG
rnacentral:rRNA from 1 species